UCUACAUCGACAUUAGAGCUA
rnacentral:misc_RNA from 1 species